rnacentral:rRNA from 1 species
UACGUAGGGGGCAAGCGUUGUCCGGAAUCAUUGGGCGUAAAGAGCGUGUAGGCGGCCAGAUAAGUCCGCUGUGAAAUCUCGAGGCUCAACUUCGAGCUGUCGGUGGAAACUGUCUGGCUAGAGUCCGGAAGAGGAGAAUGGAAUUCCUGGUGUAGCGGUGAAAUGCGCAGAUAUCAGGAAGAACACCCGAGGCGAAGGCGGUUCUCUGGGACGGUACUGACGCUGAGACGCGAAAGCGUGGGGAGCGAACAGG